AGGCACCGUGCCAGUGACUAUGGGUACAAAGACGGAUAAAGCAUGAAUUUGCCUGGACAUAACUCACAGCUUACCAGAGCAGGAAAACCUUGGUACCAUCGGAAAGCAGUGCUGAUUCAGACCCCAAGUGAGCAUUCUUGGAUUUCAUGCAAGAAAUAAUUCAGGGUGAGUCCAUACAGUAAAAUGAAAACAAGUUUAUUAAGAAAGUAAAGAAACAAAAGAAUGACUACUCCAUAGACACAGCAGCCCUGAGGGCUGCUGGUUGCCCAUUUUUAUGGUUAUUUCUUGAUGAUGCUAAACAAGAAGUGGAUUAUUCAUGCCUCCCAUUUUUAAAUCAUAUAGGGUAAUGUGCUGAUGUUGCCAUGACAUCUGCAAACUACCAUGGCACUGGUGGGGGUAUAGCUGUGA
rnacentral:lncRNA from 1 species